rnacentral:rRNA from 1 species
AAAGAACGAGGGGGGAAGGAAGAACACAUGCAAGUCGAACGAGACCUUCGGGUCUAGUGGCGCACGGGUGCGUAACGCGUGGGAACCUGCCCUUAGGUUCGGAAUAGCUCCCCGAAAGGGGUGCUAAUACCGGAUAAUGUCUUCGGACCAAAGAUUUAUCGCCUUUGGAUGGGCCCGCGUUGGAUUAGCUAGUUGGUAGGGUAAAAGCCUACCAAGGCGACGAUCCAUAGCUGGUCUGAGAGGAUGAUCAGCCACACUGGGACUGAGACACGGCCCAGACUCCUACGGGAGGCAGCAGUGGGGAAUAUUGGACAAUGGGCGAAAGCCUGAUCCAGCAAUGCCGCGUGAGUGAUGAAGGCCUUAGGGUUGUAAAGCUCUUUUACCCGGGAUGAUAAUGACAGUACCGGGAGAAUAAGCUCCGGCUAACUCCGUG